UGUUAGCAGUCUCUCGAGUGAGUGAGAGAUUUUUUAAUCGCGAGCGAAUUAGUAAGUACAUCAGAAAUUAUUCAAGACACAUCUUCUAAUCCAAGACACAAACAUCAAACCCAGACGCUUUCUCCCAAUCUUUUUUUCAUAGUACAUAUAAUAGAGAAAGCGCAACCUAGAACCCUAAUCUUCAAUCCGUCUUCCAUCUCCAAAUUCCUCAUCAUAAAGACUCCAUAAAUUUGCAGAAUGAAGAGCGUUCAGAGUUCUACUUCAGAUAUAAUUAGUACUUUACCAAGUAACAUCACAGAGAACAUUCUUAUGUGCUUGCCAUUGAGGGAUGCAGUGAGGACAAGUGUUUUGUCAAGUAGAUGGAAGUAUAAAUGGGACCCCCCCUUCUUGCGGAAAUUUCGGUUUCCUUGUGUUCGUUGGAUGCAAAUAGUAAACAGCAUGAGGGAAGAGAAGACUCUAAUUUCGUCUAGUUUUUUCAUUGUCUACCUGCCAUUGAGAACCUGACUCUCGACAAGCAAAUUUUGGAGUUCUUGGCUGUAGGUGGUGUUCCAAAGAGUCUCCCCAGUACUAUGAACCGUCUCAAAAUUCUCAAUCUAUUUCGGGUUUCUUUUCACAAGAUUGACCAGGUGUCAUGUGUUCUUUGCUUGAUCAGAAGCUCCCCCAACUUACAGAAACCUGAAAUCAGAUCUUUGACCAACACACUAAACGCAGUAAACUUGGAAGCUGUUACAGAACUUUUGCAAGCUCAAGACUAGUCAAAAUUUCCUUUGAGUAGGCUUCGGCAAGUGAAAAUGCUAUUGUUAGGUGUGGAGCCUGUGAUGGAGUUUGUCAAGCUUCUGUUACCGUGUUCAACUGCACUCAAGAAGAUGGAAAUAUUGCUCGAACCAGGUUGUUCUUGUGAAAAAGCACUUGAGGUAUUGAAAAAGUUGACACGAUUUCCUCGAGCAUCACCAUUAGCAGAGCUCAUAUUUCUAAAUUAGUUGAUGAUAAUUUUAAUUCUGUCAAAAAAAAAAAAAAAAAAUAAUUAAAAUAAAAUAAAAAAAAAAAAAAAAAAAUCUUGUAGUAAGAAGAACCAUGUUCUGGAAAAGUAUCAAUGAAAUGUAUCUAGGGUUGAAAUUCAGACUAUACUUUGUUCCAAGAAAGUAAUUAUUGAUGCAGUGUUUGGUUCAACA